CAGCCGCCGCGGUGAUACGUAGGUGGCAAGCGUUGUCCGGAAUUAUUGGGCGUAAAGGGCUCGCAGGCGGUUUCUUAAGUCUGAUGUGAAAGCCCCCGGCUCAACCGGGGAGGGUCAUUGGAAACUGGGAAACUUGAGUGCAGAAGAGGAGAGUGGAAUUCCACGUGUAGCGGUGAAAUGCGUAGAGAUGUGGAGGAACACCAGUGGCGAAGGCGACUCUCUGGUCUGUAACUGACGCUGAGGAGCGAAAGCGUGGGGAGCGAACAGGAUUAGAGACCCCUGUAGUCCCUGUCUCUUAUAA
rnacentral:rRNA from 1 species